rnacentral:snRNA from 1 species
GACAUAUCAGUCUGUCAAUGACUUAGAAUGAAGACACAGUACAUAGAAUCAGUCAUGAGCUGUGAGAUGUUAAACUGUUUUGUUGUGGGGCAGGUGUUGGCAUCAUGGUGACUUGAGUUUUCAAUUAGCAAUAAUCGUACCUUGGAUAAACCUCAUUGGCUACAAUACUGCCACUGUUCAAAGCU